rnacentral:rRNA from 1 species
GACAGAGGGUGCAAACGUUGUUCGGAAUUACUGGGCGUAAAGCGCGUGUAGGCGGCAGGGUAUGUCGGAUGUGAAAUCCCGUGGCUCAACCACGGAAGUGCACCCGAAACUACCCAGCUUGAGUCUCGGAGAGGAAGGCGGAAUGCUUGGUGGUAGAGGUGAAAUUCGUAGAUAUCAAGCGGAACACCGGUGGCGAAGGCGGCCUUCUGGGACGAUGACUGACGCUGAGACGCGAAAGCGUGGGGAGCGAACAGG